AGGGGAGAAAUUAACCAAAGAACAUCAGAGAACACUGUGUUGUCUCGUGUGUCCUUACAGAGACAAAAAUCGAGGUCAGCUUCAUACACGGGUAUUGGUGGCAACACUCAAAACUCAGCCCCCAAAAGCCCGGUUGGCAGCGAGUGGGACUACAAAGUUGUCCAUUUGUGCAUCCGUCCUACCGGGCCCACUUGAUGAGGUAGGGCAGGUGGUUGAGCAAGCUGAAUGUGUAGAAGGAGUAGCGGAUGAUCUCGGUGACAGUCCAAGCGCUGACAAAGAGCAGAACGCUGUCCUCGCUCUGCACCUGGACACCGAUCAGAAGCACCCGGCAAAGGAGUCACAACAAAACAAGGAGCAAUCUACCCAUCAACCAGUCAAUCAACCCACACAGCAAAUCAACGGCAUCUGCACUGAGUGUGUUCAUUUCUGCAAGGCGACAUCAUUGACUUACGUGCUCACGACUCUAUGACACCACCUACAGCGUAUCAAAAGUAUUCAUCAAGUGGUAGUGUCAUCAUCCUGUGAUGAUUCAUAUUUGUGUGUAUG